rnacentral:rRNA from 1 species
GAUUAGAUUCCCUGGUAGUACUCGUCGUAAUCGAUGUGGAUUUAGAGGUUGUGGUCGUGAUUCGUGGCUUCUGGAGAUGACUCGAUAAAUCCAGUGCCUGAGGAGUUUGGCCGCAAAGUUUAGGGUCAAUUGAAUUGACGGGGGCCCGCACCAGCGGUGGAGCAUGUGGUCUAAUUUGAUGCAACGCGAAGACCCCCUCCUUAUUUUGACAUCCAGUGAAUCCGAUAGAGAUAGAGGAUUGCCUUCGGGAACGGUGAGACAGGAAGGGCAUGGCCGUUGUCACCUUCCUCUGCGAAAAAAUGGGUUAAGUCCCGCAAGGCGUUCUUCCCUUAUCCGGCAUGGCCAGCACAUAAUGGUGGGCACUCAAAGGAAUUCCCCGGUGAUACCUCGGAGGAAGGUGGGGACGGCGUCAAGUCAUCAGGGCCCUUGAGAGUAGGGCUACACACGUGCUACAAUGGCAGAUACAAAGAGAAGCGACCUCGCGAGAGCAAGCGGAACUCAUAAAGUUCGUCGUAGUCCGGAUCGGAGUCUGCAACUCGACUCCAUGAAGUCGGAAUCGGUUGUAAUCGUAGAUCAGAAUUAGUCGUCGAAUUCGUUCCCGGGCAUCGUACACCAUUCCUGUCCCACCAUGGGAUUGGGAGCAAAAGAAGUAGGUAGUUUAACCUUCCGGGAGGGCGCUCACCACAGGGAUUCACCCGU